GGGGUGCGAAAUAGACUUACCUCCACGUGGUGCACCCUGGGCGACGUAUUCUCAUACGGCAAAAAAAGUCUAU
rnacentral:ribozyme from 1 species